rnacentral:rRNA from 1 species
AGCGAACGCUGGCGGCAGGCUUAACACAUGCAAGUCGAGCGGGCACUUUCGGGUGUCAGCGGCGGACGGGUGAGUAACGCGUGGGAACGUGCCCUCUGGUUCGGAAUAACUCAGGGAAACUUGAGCUAAUACCGGAUACGCCCUUUUGGGGAAAGGCUUGCUGCCGGAGGAUCGGCCCGCGUCUGAUUAGCUAGUUGGUGAGGUAACGGCUCACCAAGGCGACGAUCAGUAGCUGGUCUGAGAGGAUGAUCAGCCACACUGGGACUGAGACACGGCCCAGACUCCUACGGGAGGCAGCAGUGGGGAAUAUUGGACAAUGGGCGAAAGCCUGAUGCAGCCAUGCCGCGUGAGUGAUGAAGGCAUUAGGGUUGUAAAGCUCUUUUAUCCGGGACGAUAAUGACGGUACCGGAGGAAUAAGCCCCGGCUAACUUCGUG